rnacentral:rRNA from 1 species
UUCCUAAAGCUCUUUCGCCCGUGACGAUGAUGACGGUAACGGGAGAAGAAGCCCCGGCUAAUUCCGUGCCAGCAGCCGCGGUAAUACGGAAGGGGCUAGCGUUGUUCGGAUUUACUGGGCGUAAAGCGCAUGUAGGCGGCGGAUCAAGUGGGGCGUGAAAGGCCUGGGCUCAACCUGGGAACUGCGCUUCAGACUGGUUCGCUCGAGUUCGGGAGAGGGUGGUGGAAUUCCCAGUGUAGAGGUGAAAUUCGUAGAUAUUGGGAGGAACACCGGUUGGCGAAGGUGGCCACCUGGCCCGAGACUGACGCUCAAGUGCGAAAGCGUGGGGAGCAAACAGGAUUAGAUACCCUGGUAGUCCACGCUGUAAACGAUGGGUGCUAGAUGUCGGGGGGCUUGCUCUUCGGUGUCGCAGCUAACGCGUUAAGCACCCCGCCUGGGGAGUACGGCCGCAAGGUUAAAACUCAAAGGAAUUGACGGA